rnacentral:rRNA from 1 species
GAUGAACGCUAGCGGCAGGCCUAAUACAUGCAAGUCGAACGGGCGGUAGCAAUACCGCUAGUGGCGCACGGGUGCGUAACGCGUAACCAACCUGCCCAGAUCUGGGGGAUAGCCCGCCGAAAGGCGGAUUAAUACCGCAUAAACCCACAGUGUGGCAUCACAUAAUGGGUAAAGAUUUAUCGGAUCUGGAUGGGGUUGCGUAGCAUUAGCUAGUUGGCGGGGUAAUGGCCCACCAAGGUGACGAUGCUUAGGGGACCUGAGAGGGUGAUCCCCCACACUGGCACUGAGAUACGGGCCAGACUCCUACGGGAGGCAGCAGUAGGGAAUAUUGGGCAAUGGGCGAGAGCCUGACCCAGCCAUGCCGCGUGCCGGAUGAAGGCCUUCUGGGUUGUAAACGGCUUUUCUCAGGGAAGAAAACGGGGAUGCGUCCUCAACUGACGGUACCUGAGGAAUAAGCACCGGCUAACUCCGUG